CCGGAACCGUGGGGUUCAAUCCGGAACCAAUCCGUAGACUACGGAUUUUUAAUUAUUCAAUCUGGAACUGAACCGCGGAUUCAAAAAACCAAUCCAAACCUAUCGGAUUGGACUGGACUGGAUCGAAUUACGAAUUUCACGGAUUAUUUGCUCAGCCCUAUGUAAGGCUUAUCUCACUAAUAAUUCAAUCUCCUACUCAGUCAGUCGGCCAAACAAACUGGGCAUAUUGUAACUUCACCAAAAAUGAGGAGUCGUCUUCUACAAUUGAAAAAUAAGGAACAAGUGAUAUUUGAUAUAUUCCGGUGUUGGAAUUACACGAGUUCUCUUUCUCCGGAAGAAAAGAUACCAGAAACUUAAGCGUGGCCAUUUUGGCAAGUCCUCUCUAUUUAUCAGUAUAUGAUUCAUUUCAAAGGGGCAAAUAGUUUUGCUCUACCUUGUUUUCAUUGUCACUCACUUAUACUUUCAAUUCUAUUUGUCAAUUAUCUUGAUAACAAUAAUUUUCUCACUAAAUUUAUUCGCAUAUGAAUUGUGAAAUCAAAAUCAAUUACAUUGGCACAAGGCUUUUUA